rnacentral:rRNA from 1 species
UAUUGCACAAUGGGGGAAACCCUGAUGCAGCGACGCCGCGUGAGCGAUGAAGUAUUUCGGUAUGUAAAGCUCUAUCAGCAGGGAAGAAAAUGACGGUACCUGACUAAGAAGCCCCGGCUAACUACGUGCCAGCAGCCGCGGUAAUACGUAGGGGGCAAGCGUUAUCCGGAUUUACUGGGUGUAAAGGGAGCGUAGGUGGCAUGGCAAGCCAGAAGUGAAAACCCGGGGCUUAACCCCGCGGAUUGCUUUUGGAACUGUCAGGCUGGAGUGCAGGAGGGGCAGGCGGAAUUCCUGGUGUAGCGGUGAAAUGCGUAGAUAUUAGGAGGAACACCAGUGGCGAAGGCGGCCUGCUGGACAGAAACUGACGUUGAGGCUCGAAAGCGUGGGGAGCAAACAGG